GGAGGGUGUGACUAGUGACAGAGUGAGGGAGGGAAGGGGUGACUAGUGAGAGUGAGGGAGGUGGUGAUUAGUGACAGAGGGAGGAAUGGGGUGACUAUCACUGUGUCACCCCCUUCCUCACUCUGUCACUAGUCACCCACUCCCUCCCUCACUCGGUCACUAGUCACCCCCUCUGUCACCAGUCAUUCCCUCACUCUGUCACCAGUCAUCCCUUCCUUCCCUCACUCUGCCACUAGUCAUCCCUUCCCUCAC